rnacentral:rRNA from 1 species
CCUACGGGCGGCUGCAGUGGGGAAUAUUGGACAAUGGGGGGAACCCUGAUCCAGCCAUGCCGCGUGUGUGAAGAAGGCCCUCGGGUUGUAAAGCACUUUCAGUGAGGAAGAACGCCUGGUGGUUAAUACCCAUCAGGAAAGACAUCACUCACAGAAGAAGCACCGGCUAACUCCGUGCCAGCAGCCGCGGUAAUACGGAGGGUGCGAGCGUUAAUCGGAAUUACUGGGCGUAAAGCGCGCGUAGGUGGCUUGAUAAGCCGGUUGUGAAAGCCCCGGGCUCAACCUGGGAACGGCAUCCGGAACUGUCAAGCUAGAGUGCAGGAGAGGAAGGUAGAAUUCCCGGUGUAGCGGUGAAAUGCGUAGAGAUCGGGAGGAAUACCAGUGGCGAAGGCGGCCUUCUGGACUGACACUGACACUGAGGUGCGAAAGCGUGGGUAGCAAACAGGAUUAGAUACCCUAGGAGUC